UUUACUUCAGCAUGAAUUAACAUGUGAGUCUCAAUGUAUCCUUUACGUGUGAAAGACUUUCCACACUGAAAGCAGCUGAAAGGCUUUUCCGAAGUGUGUGUUACCAAAUGGUCAUUAAGGUGUCCUUUCUGUGUAAAACUCUUUCCACACUGAGAGCAGGUAAAUGGUUUUAUUCCAGCGUGAAUUAGCAUAUGAUCCUGAAGGUUUUUGUUACACGUGAAAGUUUUUCCGCACUGACAACAGCUGAAAGGCCUUUCCCCAUUAUGAAUUCUCAU